AAAUAGAUACCCAGGUAGUCCACGCCGUAAACGAUGAGUGCUAAGUGUUAGAGGGUUUCCGCCCUUUAGUGCUGAAGUUAACGCAUUAAGCACUCCGCCUGGGGAGUACGGCCGCAAGGCUGAAACUCAAAGGAAUUGACGGGGGCCCGCACAAGCGGUGGAGCAUGUGGUUUAAUUCGAAGCAACGCGAAGAACCUUACCAGGUCUUGACAUCCUCUGACAACCCUAGAGAUAGGGCUUCUCCUUCGGGAGCAGAGUGACAGGUGGUGCAUGGUUGUCGUCAGCUCGUGUCGUGAGAUGUUGGGUUAAGUCCCGCAACGAGCGCAACCUUUGAUCUUAGUUGCCAUCAUUAAGUUGGGCACUCUAAGGUGACUGCCGGUGACAAACCGGAGGAAGGUGGGGAUGGACGUCAAAUCAUCAUGCCCCUUAUGACCUGGGCUACACACGUGCUACAAUGGACGGUACAAAGAGCUGCAAGACCGCGAGGUGGAGCUAAUCUCAUAAAACCGUUCUCAGUUCGGAUUGUAGG
rnacentral:rRNA from 1 species